UACGUAGGGUGCAAGCGUUGUCCGGAAUUAUUGGGCGUAAAGGGCUCGUAGGCGGUCCAUCACGUCGGGAGUGAAAAGCUGGGGCUUAACCCCAGUCCUGCUUCCGAUACGGGUGGACUAGAGGUAGGCAGGGGAGAACGGAAUCCUGGUGUGAGCGGUGAAAUGCGCAGAUAUCAGGAGGAACACCGAUGGCGAAGGCAGCUCGCUGGGACGGUACUGACGCUGAGGCGCGAAAGCGUGGGGAGCAAACAGG
rnacentral:rRNA from 1 species